CUUAACUCCACUGAGGAGCGAUAUAAAUAGAUCUUAAAGAAAAUACCACUCCGCAGCGACCCCAGAUGGAAGCAAUCUGCUCUUAUACAGAAGAAUGAAGAAAUCAGGAUUGCCUGUCAGAGGAGGCAGGUGACAUUGACAGACAGUGAAACGAUACUGACUUCAUGCAGAUUAAUUCUAAAUAUACUGAGGGUAUCCAGUAUGAUCAGUAAUAUGAAGUCCUGGACCUGCAAGACUGAAUGCAACAGCAUGGAGGACAUGGUUAUUUUCAAGAAUGAAGAGGUGCUAGUCACAGUGUGUUUGGAUCAUUUGACAUCCAGCAUAGUAUUUGGCUAACUGUUCAGUUCCUCUGUCAAGAUCAGUCCACUACACAAAGCGUUGGACAAAUAAUUUCAUUUUUGCUGUUUAUGGGUGCCAUCUUUAAGUGACAAUUGGAAUGUAGCUUGUCUGGAAUUACUACACUGGAGCCACAUAGUAAAUGUUCUUCACAUAUGGACAGCUGUCAUCUGUAGCAGCAAAGUUAAAGUACAAGUUACCACCCUAGACUAAACUUUUAUAAUUAACUAAUAUACAUGCAGUAGUACUGAAUCACUCCUGGUUUCUGUUUAUCUAGUAGCAUUUCAUCAUGGGUAACUGUGCAGUACACAUCUACUGAAUACAAGAGUUUUGAUUUCACAACAUUUUAUAAGGCAGUUUUAACCGUUCAUCAACAUUACCACAUUGUUUUGAUUCUUUAUAUUUGUUAUUGUUUGUAUCUUCGAAACAAAGACUGGUGUUGCAAAUUGUCUGCAGUUAUUAAAGAUGCUCUUUCUCUUAGGAUAAAAAUGUUAGUAGCAAGUCAUGACCUAUACCUAGCAAAACCUUUCCACCAUAUAGAUAUUGGUUACUUUCAUCUUUACUGAUAAACCAGAAGCAAUGCUGUGGUUGUAUCUGUGUACCACAAUGGAGUCUGCCCAAUACAACAUUGCUAGUUCCAUAAGAAAAAGCAUUGGUAAUAAGCAAAAAUGUUGUUAAUUAUUUUGGCUCAUUGAAGGUGUGUUAGUAGUUCUAUAUGGAUUCCCAUUUAGAUUCAUCCUGUACCAGUGACUUCAUUUUUAGUUGCAGUAGUGCUGAGAGGUUCUGUCAAAACACAUGGCAGUAGUUUACCAGUCUUAAAAUGUUCACAACUGCAACAUGUUCUGAAUCCCAGGGGCCUGUAGCAUAGCCUCUGCACUGUCUUGUGACCUGAGCAGUCCAUUUUUGUCAAAUGCAUGCUUUCAAGAAGAGAGUUAUCUUCAGGAAAAAAAAAACACACUUUCCUCACCCUAGACUUGUAUUCUUCUGGCCUGUCUGGGACCCUUCAUGUGUUACUCAUUUGCUCUCUGUCAUGCUGUACCAUCACCAGGAUAUGUUUAUGGUAGCAUUGCAGUUUAGGAAUUCCUUGCAGUAUUUGGUAAUUUGCUUGCUUUUAAACAGAAGAUAAAUGUACUGUUCUAAAAUCAUUUGGUUAUACUGCAAUAAACAUUUCUGUAUAUUAA